rnacentral:rRNA from 1 species
UACGAAAGGGGGUUGCGGUGUUCGGAAUUACUGGGCGUAAAGCGCACGUAGGCGGCCUUGUAAGAUGGGGGUGAAAUCCCCGGGCUCAACCCGGGAACUGCCUUCAUGACUGCAAAGCUAGAGGAUGCGAGAGGUUAGCGGAAUUCCGAGUGUAGAGGUGAAAUUCGUAGAUAUUCGGAAGAACACCAGUGGCGAAGGCGGCUAACUGGCGCAUUUCUGACGCUGAGGUGCGAAAGCGUGGGGAGCAAACAGG